AAGCUCAAUGGCUUGAGCCUAAUUCACUUAAGUUAACCUAUUUGGACCAAUUGACUUAUUGGUGUCCAAGGCAAGUAAUUGAGAAGUGGUUAUUUAAUUGAUUUCGUUAGCUAAUUUGGUCAAUUUAUUGGUGUCUAAGGAAAGCAACAGGGGACCCCCACCAAUCUCCACUUACCUGAUCGAUUUGGAAGAUUAGAUCUUCAAUAAGGUUUCUUGGUGUUUUGGUUUAGCCCAUGCCAAUUAGAUCAGUCAUAUGAUGAUUGAUUAUAUGAGACCUAAACCUAAAUAUCCCCACAAAUAUCAAGUCCAUAGGUCUUCCACCAU
rnacentral:lncRNA from 1 species